GACGAACGCUGGCGGCGUGCCUAAUACAUGCAAGUUGAGCGCUGAAGGUUGGUACUUGUACCAACUGGAUGAGCAGCGAACGGGUGAGUAACGCGUGGGGAAUCUGCCUUUGAGCGGGGGACAACAUUUGGAAACGAAUGCUAAUACCGCAUAAAAACUUUAAACACAAGUUUUAAGUUUGAAAGAUGCAAUUGCAUCACUCAAAGAUGAUCCCGCGUUGUAUUAGCUAGUUGGUGAGGUAAAGGCUCACCAAGGCGAUGAUACAUAGCCGACCUGAGAGGGUGAUCGGCCACCUUGGGACUGAGACACGGCCCAAACUCCUACGGGAGGCAGCAGUAGGGAAGCUUCGGCAAUGGACGAAAGUCUGACCGAGCAACGCCGCGUGAGUGAAGAAGGGUUUCGGAUCGUAAAACUCUGUUGGUAGAGAAGAACGUUGGUGAGAGUGGAAAGCUCAUCAAGUGACGGUAACUACCCAGAAAGGAACGGCUAACUACGUG
rnacentral:rRNA from 1 species